rnacentral:rRNA from 1 species
AUGCCGCUCGUCCUCCGCCCGCCGAACCACCCCGUCCCUGAUGCCUCACUCGGCGCCUUCCGCCACAGGGCCGCCGCGCUCGCCCCACCCUCGGCGCCGCACCUCCACCGCCACCUCCGCUGGCUCCUCGCCAACGCCCCCGCCUCGUGCACGAGCGGCCGGAGCACGCCGUCCACCCCGGGCACGCGGCGCUCGACGUCUUCGAUACGGUGCAGGACAUCAAGGACCCAGAGCACCCCUACUCGCUGGAGCAGAUGCGGUGUGUGCUCUCUCAGGAGUCCGUCUCCGUCUCCCAGUAGUCCGUCUCCGUCUCCAUAUUCGCCCGAGGUGUCUCCUCAUCAUCUACAGCAAAGGAUCCCCAUCGCCCGCCACCAGUCUGCAGCAGAGGAUCCCAACUCUGUUGGGCACAACACGAACACCCAAAACAGAUCAUCAGCAUACACAACCAGUGGAACUGCUACAAAGCACCAGAAGAAGGCGAAGCAAAGAGGGCAAGAUCACAACAGCUCUUCUCGGUGA